rnacentral:rRNA from 1 species
AUGACGACGGCGCCGGCGCUUCUCCGGGCCUCCACGCCGGCCCUCCGGCGCCACGGCCUCCUCGUCCUCUUGCUUCUGCUCAUCGGCGCUUCCGGUGUCGCGGCGCAGGGGGGUGGUGUGGUUCCUCCGCGGCGGCGGCGGCAGGUGGUGGACGUGGGGGUGAUCUUGGACACGAAGACGUGGGUGGGGAACAUGAGCUGGACGUGCAUGGAGCUGGCCCUCCACGACUUCUACGCCGACGCUGGCCACGCCGGCUACCGCACCAGGCUGAAGCUCCACCUCCGGGACACCGGCCCCGGCGCCGUCGACGCCGCGUCCUCAGGUCUUGAUCUACUGAAAAAUGUCCGAGUGCAAGCGAUUGUUGGGCCACAGACGUCAACUCAGUCUAAAUUUCUUGCGGAGCUUGGGAACAAAUCAAUGGUUCCAGUCAUUUCAUUCUCUGCAGAUUGCCCGUCACGAUCCGGACUAACUCCAUACUUCAUCCGGACUGCAUGGAAUGACUCCUCUCAAGCAGAAGCUAUUGCCUCACUUGUUCAGAAAUACAACUGGAGGGAAGUCGUCCCUGUCUAUGAGGAUGAUGAUGAUACCAAUAUCAAAUUCAUUCCCGACCUUGUUGAUGCCCUCAAACAAGUCGACACUCGUGUUUCAUACAGGUGCAAGAUUCAUCCUUCAGCUACAGAGGAUGAUAUGAAGACAGCUAUCUCAAACUUGAAACAGAAUUGGACAAGCGUAUUUGUUGUGCGUAUGUCGCAUGCUUUGGCUCAAAAGUUUUUCCAGCUUGCCAAAGAUGAAGGGAUGAUGACCCAGGGCUUUGUCUGGAUUACCGCGUAUGGCUUGACAGAUAUCUUUGAUGUGGUUGGUUCACCGGCACUUGAUGUGAUGCAAGGAGUUCUUGGGGUGAAACCUCAUGUUCAAGAUACCGUGGAACUUCAAAACUUUAGACAGAGAUGGCGCAAGAAGUACCGAUUACAAAAUCCAGGCACCUCAUUAAGUGGGCCCACAGUAUCUGGCCUCUAUGCUUAUGAUACCAUAUGGGCGUUAGCAUUAGCAGCAGAGAAGGCUGGAUUUGUGAAUUCAGACUUUAGGCCGUCUUUAACAAAGAAUGGUUCCACUGACUUUGACAGAAUAGGUACUUCAAAAGCUGCUGAAAAACUGCGAGGUGCACUCUUAAAGGUCCUUUUUUUUGGCAUCAGCGGGAAAUUUCACAUUCAAGACAUGCAGUUAGUAUCAUCAAACUACACAAUAAUCAACCUUGUUGGUCAGGAGAGAAGAGAAGUUGGUUUUUGGACUCCAGGAUCUGGCAUCUCUGGUAGUCCAAAAAUGAAGUCUGAUCUUAACACCGUCGUAUGGCCAGGAUAUAAUGAAACUGCACCCACUGCACCCAGAGGCUGGCUAUUUCCAACGAAUAAAAAUCUCACAAUAGGCAUGCCUGUGAAACCUGGGUUUGAAGAAUUUGUAGGAUUUGACAAUGGUACUGCCACGGGGUUCUGCGUCGAUGUAUUUGAGGCGGUAGUUAAUGACUUACCCUAUCAUGUACCCCGUCACUAUCGGGAGUUUGGAGACGGGAAAGGAUCGAGUAAUGGAACUUAUGAUGAGCUUGUCUAUGAAGUUUAUCUUAAGAAUUAUGAUGCAGUCGUAGGUGAUAUAACAAUCUUGGCCAACCGUUCUUCGUAUGUGGACUUCACUCUUCCUUACACAGAAUCAGGGGUACGCAUGCUGGUUCCAGUCCAGGACCGGCGACAGAAGACUGCAUGGACAUUCCUCAGGCCUUUGACAGCUGACCUAUGGUUAGGAACUGGGGCCUUCUUUGUCUUCACAGGUUUUGUAGUCUGGAGUAUUGAGCAUAGAAUAAAUCAAGACUUCCGAGGUUCCCCAGCCAGUCAAAUCGGAUCAGUCUUCUACUUCUCCUUCUCAACACUAGUAUUUGCUCACAGGGAGCAGAUCCUGAACAACUUCUCAAGAAUUGCAAUAGUUGUUUGGCUUUUCGUUGUGCUAAUAGUGCAGCAGAGUUAUACUGCAAGCUUAAGCUCGAUCCUUACGGUGGAGCAACUUCAGCCAACAGUCACAAAUUUAGAAGAAGUUGUCAGAAAUGGGGGCAAUGUUGGCUACCUCAAUGAUUCUUUCUUGCCUGGGCUUUUGAAAAGGUUGAAAAUUGAUGAAUCAAAGAUGAUUGCCUUUGACUCCCCUGUGGAAUACGAUGAAGCGUUAUCAAGUGGAAAAGUUGCCGUCAUUGUUGAUGAGAUACCAUACCUUAAGGUGUUCCUCUCAAAGUAUUGCCAGAAGUACACUAUGGUUGGACCAACCUACAAGUUUGAUGGAUUUGGUUAUGCAUUCCCUCGAGGCUCGCCACUCACACCUGAUAUUUCGAGGGGAAUACUGAAAUUCGCAUCGGAUGACCGAAUGGUUAAGAUGCAGAAAGACUUGUAUGGCGAGACUUCAUGCCCCGACAAAGAUGACUCCCAGACUUCAAGCAGCCUUACAUUGCAGAGCUUCCAGGGGCUGUUCAUCAUCAGCGGAGCAUCUUCAGUGCUGGCAUUAAUCCUGCACGCUGUCAUAACCAUUUAUAACAACCGACACGAAUUCAACAGUGACGGCAGUCAGAGUCCAUGGCGCAGAUGGCCUGCCAUUCUCUCCAAGCUCUUCCACGGGGACGACAGUCCUUCUAACACUCCAGAUAAAGAUGAAGCCGCAGCGGAAAAUGCUGGUAGUGCGGUUGAGACCCCACUAAGCAUACGCAUACCUAGUCACAUCGUCGAGCACAUGUCAGACACGGACACAGGAAGCCCACCAGAAGGGGAAGGAACACCAGGCAGGGAGCUCUCAGUUCAGGACACGGAACCGCUGUCGUUUGCUUACAUGCAUUCUGAGAGGGGGCAAAAUAGAGCAGCUUCCUUGUCUCGGAGUGGGAGCUCGAUCCGCAGGAGACAGAUUAGCAUGGAAUGA